rnacentral:rRNA from 1 species
UACGUAGGGGGCAAGCGUUGUCCGGAAUUACUGGGCGUAAAGAGCUCGUAGGUGGUUUGUCGCGUUGUUCGUGAAAACUCACAGCUCAACUGUGGGCGUGCGGGCGAUACGGGCAGACUGGAGUACUGCAGGGGAGACUGGAAUUCCUGGUGUAGCGGUGGAAUGCGCAGAUAUCAGGAGGAACACCGGUGGCGAAGGCGGGUCUCUGGGCAGUAACUGACGCUGAGGAGCGAAAGCGUGGGGAGCGAACAGG